AAGCCUUGGCUAACUUCGUGCCAGCAGUCGCGGUAAUACGGGGAAGGCAAGUGUUAUUCGUCGUUAUUGGGCGUAAAGGGUACGUAGAUUGUGUAAAUAACAUUUAAUUAAAGCCAAGAACUGUUCUUCUUGAGAAAUUAUUUGUAAAAUUUAUACUUAUUAAAAGAAAUUAAAGAGUAUUGCAUAGAUUAAUGGUAUUUUUAAAGAAGAAAUGAAAUUCGAUGAUAAUAAAAGGACCACCUGUUGGCGAAAGCAAUUAAUUAGUGUUAUACUAACAUUGAGGUACAAAAGCAUGGGGAGCAAACAGGAUUAGAGACCCUGGUAGUCCAUGCUAUGACCGCUGAAUGUUCAAUAUCGAGUUUUUUUUUAAAUUCGGUGUUUUAGCUAACGCGUUAAACAUUCCGCCUGGGGACUACGAUCGCAAGAUU
rnacentral:rRNA from 1 species